CAGGGAUUUCUAUGGAAAUAAGCGAUAUUUGAGGUUAAAAACAGGGAUUUCUAGGAAAAUAAGGGAUAUUUAAGGGGAAAAACAGGGAUUUCUAUGAAAAUAAGCGAUAUUUGAGGUUAAAAACAGGGAUUUCUAUGAAAAUAAGUGAUAUUUAAGGGGAAAAACAGGGAUUUCUAUGAAAAUAAGCGAUAUUUAAGGUUAAAAACAGGGAUUUCUAUGAAAAUAAGCGAUAUUUUAGGUUAAAAACAGGGAUUUCUAGGAAAAUAAGGGAUAUUUAAGGGGAAAAACAGGGAUUUCUAUGAAAAUAAGCGAUAUUUGAGGUUAAAAACAGGGAUUUCUAUGAAAAUAAGGGAUAUUUAAGGGGAAAAACAGGGAUUUCUAUGAAAAUAAGCGAUAUUUGAGGUUAAAAACAGGGAUUUCUAUGAAAAUAAGGGAUAUUUAAGGUUAAAAACAGGGAUUUCUAUGAAAAUAAGGGAUAUUUUAGGUUAAAAACAGGGAUUUCUAUGAAAAUAAGCGAUAUUUAAGGUUAAAAACAGGGAUUUCUAUGAAAAUAAGCGAUAUUUCAGGUUAAAAACAGGGAUUUCUAUGAAAAUAAGCGAUAUUUUAGGUUAAAAACAGGGAUUUCUAUGAAAAUAAGCGAUAUUUCAGGUUAAAAACAGGGAUUUCUAUGAAAAUAAGGGAUAUUUAAGGUUAAAAACAGGGAUUUCUAUGAAAAUAAGGGAUAUUUAAGGGGAAAAACAGGGAUUUCUAUGAAAAUAAGCGAUAUUUGAGGUUAAAAACAGGGAUUUCUAUGAAAAUAAGCGAUAUUUUAGGUUAAAAACAGGGAUUUCUAGGAAAAUAAGGGAUAUUUAAGGGGAAAAACAGGGAUUUCUAUGAAAAUAAGUGAUAUUUGAGGUUAAAAACAGGGAUUUCUAGGAAAAUAAGCGAUAUUUGAGGUUAAAAACAGGGAUUUCUAUGAAAAUAAGCGAUAUUUGAGGUUAAAAACUGGGAUUUCUAUGAAAAUAAGUGAUAUUUAAGGUUAAAAACAGGGAUUUCUAUGGAAAUAAGCGAUAUUUUAGGUUAAAAACAGGGAUUUCUAUGAAAAUAAGCGAUAUUUAAGGUUAAAAACAGGGAUUUCUAUGAAAAUAAGCGAUAUUUAAGGGGAAAAACAGGGAUUUCUAUGAAAAUAAGCGAUAUUUUAGGUUAAAAACAGGGAUUUCUAUGAAAAUAAGCGAUAUUUAAGGGGAAAAACAGGGAUUUCUAUGAAAAUAAGCGAUAUUUAAGGUUAAAAACAGGGAUUUCUAUGAAAAUAAGCGAUAUUUAAGGUUAAAAACAGGGAUUUCUAUGAAAAUAAGCGAUAUUUGAGGAUAAAAACUGGGAUUUCUAUGAAAAUAAGCGAUAUUUUAGGUUAAAAACAGGGAUUUCUAUGAAAAUAAGCGAUAUUUUAGGUUAAAAACAAGGAUUUCUAUGAAAAUAAGCGAUAUUUAAGGGGAAAAACAGGGAUUUCUAUGGAAAUAAGCGAUAUUUUAGGUUAAAAGCAGGGAUUUCUAUGAAAAUAAGCGAUAUUUGAGGUUAAAAACAGGGAUUUCUAUGAAAAUAAGUGAUAUUUUAGGUUAAAAACAGGGAUUUCUAUGAAAAUAAGCGAUAUUUGAGGUUAAAAACAGGGAUUUCUAUGGAAAUAAGCGAUAUUUUAGGUUAAAAACAUGGAUUUCUAUGAAAAUAAGCGAUAUUUUAGGAUAAAAACUGGGAUUUCUAUGAAAAUAAGCGAUAUUUUAGGGGAAAAACAGGGAUUUCUAUGAAAAUAAGCGAUAUUUUAGGAUAAAAACUGGGAUUUCUAUGAAAAUAAGCGAUAUUUUAGGGGAAAAACAGGGAUUUCUAUGAAAAUAAGCGAUAUUUUAGGUUAAAAACAGGGAUUUCUAUGAAAAUAAGCGAUAUUUAAGGUUAAAAACAGGGAUUUCUAUGAAAAUAAGCGAUAUUUAAGGGGAAAAACAGGGAUUUCUAUGAAAAUAAGCGAUAUUUGAGGUUAAAAACAGGGAUUUCUAUGAAAAUAAGCGAUAUUUAAGGGGAAAAACAGGGAUUUCUAUGAAAAUAAGCGAUAUUUAAGGUUAAAAACAGGGAUUUCUAUGAAAAUAAGCGAUAUUUGAGGUUAAAAACUGGGAUUUCUAUGAAAAUAAGCGAUAUUUUAGGUUAAAAACAGGGAUUUCUAUGAAAAUAAGCGAUAAUUAAGGGGAAAAACAGGGAUUUCUAUGAAAAUAAGCGAUAUUUUAGGUUAAAAACAGGGAUUUCUAUGAAAAUAAGCGAUAUUUAAGGUUAAAAACAGGGAUUUCUAUGAAAAUAAGCGAUAUUUAAGGUUAAAAACAGGGAUUUCUAUGAAAAUAAGCGAUAUUUAAGGGGAAAAACAGGGAUUUCUAUGAAAAUAAGCGAUAUUUAAGGUUAAAAACAGGGAUUUCUAUGAAAAUAAGCGAUAUUUAAGGGGAAAAACAGGGAUUUCUAUGAAAAUAAGCGAUAUUUAAGGUUAAAAACAGGGAUUUCUAUGAAAAUAAGCGAUAAUUAAGGGGAAAAACAGGGAUUUCUAUGAAAAUAAGCGAUAUUUUAGGUUAAAAACAGGGAUUUCUAUGGAAAUAAGCGAUAUUUUAGGUUAAAAACAGGGAUUUCUAUGAAAAUAAGCGAUAUUUGAGGAUAAAAACUGGGAUUUCUAUGAAAAUAAGCGAUAUUUUAGGUUAAAAACAGGGAUUUCUAUGAAAAUAAGCUAUAUUUUAGGUUAAAAACAGGGAUUUCUAUGAAAAUAAGCAAUAUUUGAGGUUAAAAACAGGGAUUUCUAUGAAAAUAAGCGAUAUUUUAGGUUAAAAACAGGGAUUUCUAUGAAAACAAGCGAUAUUUAAGGGGAAAAACAGGGAUUUCUAUGAAAAUAAGCGAUAUUUUAGGUUAAAAACAGGGAUUUCUAGGAAAAUAA